GUAUCCUCAACAAUACUGUAUAAAUAGCACUCAAUUCAGGUUGAGGUACUUUAAAUGGAUUUGUGAAAAGUUCACAUACAUGAUUCUGUACAUGGAACUGUAGAAUUUCAAAAGAAAUCCUAUGGGUCCUUGGAGUUCCUGUCUGUAUGUUUCUGGGGCGUCUGCCGCACUGCCAGAGUGGACCUGACCCAGUCAGUGACCGACCAUCUGCUGCCCUCUCCCUCCCCAGUCUGCAGAGGACACUCAGCAACAACCCCAGCCUCCGGUCUGCAGAGGACACUCAGCAACAACCCCAG
ensembl:lncRNA